AUUCUUGAUCUUGGAUUCUCGAUCUUGGUUUCUCGAUCUUGGAUUCUUGAUCAAGAAUCCAAGAUCAAGAAACCAAGAUUGAGAAUUCAAGAAUUCAAGAUUAUGAAUGCAAGAUCAAGAUCAAGAUAAGAAGACUUAAUUGGCAUGUUCUCUUUCAGUUUUGUUCCCUUGCAGAGACUAUAGACUUUAUUAAGGCUUUUCUAUCUUUGUCCAUAUCUCCCAUCAAACGACUAAAUGUACCUUUAAGUUGUUUUUCAUGGAGCACAAUAUCCCUUAUCUUUAAGCAAAAUGAGGUCUAUAAGCAAAACAUGAAUAUUAUGUGUCAUUUAUGCAAUCAAAGAUCCUCCAACCGAUACGAGGUAAGCUUGCUUCUGAGCAUUCAAGGUGUUUCAAACUCUAGGUAUGUAAUAAUGUUUCUGAGCCUUUUCCUCUUGGUCUUGUUUUGUUGUUUUUUGUUUAUGUAUAGUUAUUGUGGAAGACAUAUGGUGUAUGGUUAUGAAAAAAAAGCGAAAGAUUAAGAAAGAUUUCAGGUGGAUAUGGGUAGGCUUAUUCUCUAUUUGCAUUAGUAAAUGCCUAUUAAAUGGAUGAAGCUAUAGAAGUCUAACUUUUACGGUAUCAAUUUACACAUUAAACUCAAUUAUCUAACCAUUAUAUCACAGGUGGAAGGUACACUCU
rnacentral:lncRNA from 1 species